rnacentral:rRNA from 1 species
UACGUAGGGGCUAGCGUUAUCCGGAUUUACUGGGCGUAAAGGGUGCGUAGGUGGUUUCUUAAGUCAGAGGUGAAAGGCUACGGCUCAACCGUAGUAAGCCUUUGAAACUGGGAAGCUUGAGUGCAGGAGAGGAGAGUGGAAUUCCUAGUGUAGCGGUGAAAUGCGUAGAUAUUAGGAGGAACACCAGUUGCGAAGGCGGCUCUCUGGACUGUAACUGACACUGAGGCACGAAAGCGUGGGGAGCAAACAGGAUUAGAUACCCUGGUAGUCCCUGA